rnacentral:rRNA from 1 species
GGAAGGAGAAGUCGUAACAAGGUUACCAUAGGUGAACCUGCGGUAGGAUCAUUG